GAUCCUGGCUCAGGAUGAACGCUAGCUACAGGCUUAACACAUGCAAGUCGAGGGGAAACGAUUAUUGGAAGCUUGCUUCCGAUAGGCGUCGACCGGCGCACGGGUGAGUAACGCGUAUCCAACCUGCCCAUCACGUUGGGAAUAACCUUGCGAAAAGUAAGACUAAUGCCCAAUGACAUUUAUAGAAGGCAUCCGAAAUGUAAUUAAAGAUUUAUCGGUGUAUGGAUGGGGAUGCGU
rnacentral:rRNA from 1 species